UUGUACUUUAACGUCUAUGAACUAACUCUUGCCUUUAUUAGCAUGUCGCCAUUACUCGCGGAGAUUCCACAGCGUGUCAAUUUCUGCUCUCCCCUCGGGCGAUGAGGCUUCUGGAUGAGGGAUGAGGUGCAGUAGAUCCUGGACCUUUGCCUGGUCUGGAGCAGGCUAACUCCACACAAUAAAAAACGUGGAAGAGCCGUCCUGGCGGUGGGACACAAAGCCACCCGGAGGCAGGUGGACCCCAUGGUGGAGCUCAUCCUGGAGGCUCUGUGGCCUUGGCUUCAUUCAUCACCGGGCUGACACAUUCCUGCUGACUGCCUGAGGCUGGUCCUCACACAGCGGGCUGUUGUUCUCCUACACGCUGCCGUGUGGUCACACGGGCAACCCCG